GUAGCGGUAACGCUUAAUCAUUAUUUCUAAGCAGGAUGCAAUGAUUAAAUGAUGAUCGAUCGUUUCGUUGAUGUAAGAAGGAUGUGCAAUAACCAAAUAAUUUGUAAGAUUGCAUCGGAUUUUUGAUUAACGUAACUCGCGUUCCAGUGAGCACAUUAUUUAUUAAUGUAUAUAAUAAUGCGUGAGAAAGAAAGAAAAACGCUCUGAUAAUGAGUUCGUUUUUAUAUUUGUAACCAAGAAAAAAAUAAGAAAAUAAAAAAGGAAAUAAAAAAUAUUCAAUGGAUAUUUCAUCCUUUAGGGUGAAAACCGAACGGACGCAUAAAUACAUCCUGGACAAUGGCGAUGGCCAAGGUACAUGCGUAGCUUCGACAAAAGGAAUGUACUUUAUAUAGUGCCCACGAAGAUUACAUUGAACAUGGAUUCUGCCUUGUCAAACGUUGUUGGAAAAGGAACUGGAACGGAUGUCCGGCUGUCUGGAAAGUCCAUGGCAUUCAAACGAAGCCACGAACCAUGCGCCAUCAUAGAAUGUGUCGAUUCGAUUUAGAAGCAACAUAAUCUCCGUUUGAGUUAACCAAUAAUCGGCUUAUUGAUUUUGAUUUGUACCAUUAAAGUCUAUCUCACUGUUGUACAACGAAUUAAAAUACUUAAGGUGUAUAGUAUAUAUAUGUAUAACUUAAUUGUAUAUAUAGUAGAUAAAUAUAUAUAUAUAUAUAUUUCCAGGGGGUAUUGAAAAAACACUGUCGAAAAAUCUCGAAUAGCGCAACCGUGUUUUCUCUAAAUGAAUAUGAGAAGAUUCAAGCGGCGCGAUAGUGCUUCUUAUAUUUUAUGUUCUGCACGUAUAAGAUGUGUUAGAUAACGUGAUUCUCGUCUUUUUUACAUCGCUCCGUCACAUUUCUUGCAGUUGACAAAGUGAUUUGAUUUAGUAAAGUUGCUACGACGUAACUUGCGACAAUGCAUAGUCUGUAGCAUUAAAAAUGUAAUAAAAAGAUUACAUUUAAUUUGUGUGCAGUGUAAAAAAGAAAUUCAUCCAAUAUGUUUUGAUAAAUACCGAUGUUACAAAUUAUAAGUGUUAUUCUCCAUUUAAAUUGUUUGUUAAUAAAACAAAAAUAUUUUUAAUUUAUAAUUCGUUAUUUUAUGAAAUACAUUUGUAUUAUUAAAUAUGCGUACUGUAAGUUUAUAAAUAUUUCAAGUUUUGUUCGAUAAAAAUUAUUGAGAAGAUAACAAUGAAAUACAAAAUGUUUUACUUUGUAAUGUAUUAUUGCACUAUUAUUAUAGUAUUUUAUUAUAAAAUGUAUUAUUUAUAUUAAAAGAAGGAGCUGUGUGACGUGCUUGCGUCAGUAAAUCUGAGCAAGCGACUUCGACAGUCGCACCGUUACUUGUCCACAACGCUCAAAAUGUGCUGGGUUUUCUCGACAUAAAAUCUGAACAGUGUGAUCGCACUGCUUGGGACUCAAAUGUUUAAACGGAGUUCAAAUCCGGAAAAAAUAAUUGGAGAAAGAGACAAUUUGUAUGGAAUUCGUGACAAUUCCACUAGUGUGAAGGAUCCCUUAACGAGGGCGGCCCUGACCGCUACCGUUAUCCUAUUCGAUGCUUCAUUGACUUUCAUCCUAACUUGGGUGAUGCGUGUUUCGCACACGUGACAUACAGUUUGCAUGGAUACGUGACAUACGAGGUGUACGUAAACGAAACUGCUGCUGCUACUGCUGCUGCUGCUGCUAUUGCUGCUGCUGCUGCUGCUGCUGCUGUUGCUGCUGUUGCUGCUGUUGUUGCUGCUGCUGCUGCUGCUGCUGCUAUUGUUGUUGGUAGUGGCGAUGUUCGGCCGGUUAUACAGAACGUGUUACUUCAUGGUGACACGUAACACGGCUAGAUUGCCGCUAUAUUUCAUUUUUCCAUAAAUGUCGAAUGAAUGAUUCGAAACACGUAUAAGUUUCACGAUAAAACAUUUUGGUUAUAGAUUUGAUUAUGGUGAUGACGUUCGUUCAAUAUCCGUUCGGUAUCUUCCAGCUGGUAGAUCAAAACCAAAAAAGGGAAUGGAAAGAGAGUGAAUUGAUGGUGUGCCUAACGAACACGGGCCAACUAACACAAAAAGAGAGACGUUACUUCCGGUCCUGUUUGCCGAACCAACCAGAAAGAAUUAACCGGAUAGCGCAUGUAUCGGUAAUCGGGCCAGUUUUCAGAUUGAAAACUUUGAACAAGGAAUCAAGUGUUAGUAGAACAAAGACUCGUCCAGUGUUAGAUCAAGAGGUACCGAAGAUUUCUUUACUUGGAAAUUUUCAAGUUUUAAAUCCACCAACCAAAUGUGCUGAUCGUACGACGGAAUAAUUUCGGCGUUAAAAGGACCACAUUAAAGAUUUCUCUCUCUCUCUCUUUCUCUCUCUUUCUAUGUAUCGAUUUAUCUCUCUUUUUCGAAGUGUCGAGAAAAGCGAUUUAUUUAAUUAAGCGACAGAUUCUGUAUCGUUCGGCAAGCGUAGUCGAUUUGAAACGGAAGGAGAGCUUCGAAAUGCGGAGGAGGGCAACAACGCAGCAACCAAACACUUGUGGCUUUUAAGCUUGUGGCGAACCGGUGCUCCUGAUUCAAUUACCUUUGAAAUCCUUUGUCGUCGGACAUUAAAGCCGGAGCUAAUCCUGGGAGCACGUUGGGAACUCCGAAUGGCUUUUCCUCCUCCUUCACCUCCUCCUCCUCCCUCUCUCUCUUUCUCUCUCUUUUCCUCUCUCUUUCUUUUCCUUUCUUUCUUUUUCUAUUUCUUUUAGUUUCUUUUUCUAUUUCUUUUUUUCUUUCUUUUUUUUUUUUUUUUCCAUUGAUCAGAAAACAUCCCCGUGUUAAGCCGUGACGGGAAAUUUUAUGGGGCGUUUAACGAUAAUCGAUGAACAAAGAUGGCUACUCUGAUUAUAUUUUUAGUACACUCAUUAUUUUUCUAUUUGAUCAUUUUUAUUUUUGUUUUAUAUUCCUUCGCCGUUUAUUUAGAUAAUGAGAUACGAAUAAUACAAGGCAAUGGGAUUAUUAUUCUAGCUAAUAUGUUUUACUUUUCGAUGGACGAAUAGAGAACGAUCUAAGUACUGAUAGAUUCGUACCAUAAAAAAGAGAGAGAGAGAGAGAGAGAGAGAGAGAGAGAGAGGAAGAGAGAGGAAGAAUGAGAUAGAGUGAAGGUGAAGGAUCGAAAAGGAAUGAUUCCUGAAUCGUUGAGCUUUCACACUCAGUCGAGCGUAAAUUUUUCAGUUUCGGCUGGUCGAACGUUAUCGAUGAUAAGAUCGGUAAGUGCAAGAAAAUUGGAAAAUCUCUUUCUGAAAAGACUUUUUUUCCUCUUUUUCUGCUUUUUUUUCUUUUUUUCUUUUUUUUUUUUUUUUUUUUUUUCCGUAUAAAAAACCUGGCCGAAAGUCUACAGAUUUUUUUAGAUAAAUUUAGCACUACGACGAAAUGUAUCUAUUCACACUUUUCUCUUUUUCUUUUUUUUUAUUGCAAAUUUUUUUAAUUAUCAUUGUAAGAAGUAUUUGGUUUCUACAUUAGAUAAGUUUCGAUCAUGAAUAAUCCAAUCGAUGCAAACAAAAUGUGUAAAAGUUAUUAAAACGGUGUUUAAAUCACCUACCUUUAUGGCUUAUUCAAAAAGCCGUGAAUUUCGAUGUAAAAUCCAUUCUCUCUCUCUCUCUCUCUCUCUCUCUCUCUCUCUUUUUCUCUCUCUCUCUUUCAGAGGAGAGAAUUUUCUAGUUUUGAAACCACAAACGAGUAGUACAUAACGAGAUCGUUCAUGGCUUUUGUUAUUUUUCUAUAUAUAUCCUAUAUAUAUAUAUAUAUAUAUUUUUUUUUUUGUUUCUUUUUUUUUCUUUUCACAUGUGUAUAUGCGAAAGGAUAAAAAUUAAAAAUAUAUAGGUGGAUGGUUGAUUUGUUAAUUAUUAAAAGUACGAUAUGUGAAUUAGGAAAAGAAUAAAUAUGAAAAUGAAAGUCGAGUAUUAUUAAGCAUCUAUUUUUGAAUUUUCUCUUUCUUCUUUUUUUUUCUUUUUUCACACACGUGCACAACUUAGACAUACAUACAUAUACAUGCAUGGAAGCUUGAUAGAAAGAGAAAGAGAAAGAGAGAGAGAGAGAGAGAGAGAGAGAGAGAGAGAGAGAGAGAGAGAAGGAGAGAGAGAGAAGGCUCGCUGAUCAUUUUCUUUUUUUUUUUUUUUUUGCCAAUUAUUUUCUGUGCCUGAAAGAGGGAGUAUAUAUCGAAAGUGGAACGAUAGAGGCUUAUCGAUAGGAUGAACGUCAUAAAGCGAUGCAUCUUAGAACAUCGAAGGUCAACAAGAGAAAUCUGGAGCACCUGAAUACUUAUCUUUUGAGAGGAGAAUCAUUCCUCUUCUAUUGAACAAUAUUUCCUACUUUGAUCUCCCUAGAUAUUAUUGAUAAGGCUUAUAACAGUGUUAACAAAAUGCAUAAAUAAAAUCUACGCAAGUUAUAUUUCAA